rnacentral:rRNA from 1 species
GACAGAGGGUGCAAACGUUGUUCGGAAUUACUGGGCGUAAAGCGCGUGUAGGCGGCAAGGCAAGUCGGAUGUGAAAGCCCGCGGCUCAACCGUGGAAGUGCACUCGAAACUGCCUAGCUAGAGUCUCGGAGAGGAAGGUGGAAUGCUUGGUGUAGAGGUGAAAUUCGUAGAUAUCAAGCAGAACACCUGUGGCGAAGGCGGCCUUCUGGACGAUGACUGACGCUGAGACGCGAAAGCGUGGGGAGCAAGCAGG